GCCUCGUUAGCUCAGUCUGGCCAGAGCUACCGGCUUUUACCCGGAGUGUCGGGGGUUCGACUCCCUCACGGGGCA
rnacentral:tRNA from 1 species